AUUCUCUCCAUAAAUUUCUUGUGUAGAUCUUUCCAGCCAGGAAAGAUGCAUUCACAUCGUGGUAGUUAUUCAUCAAGAUUAGGGUUUUAUCAAGAAAAAUGUAAUUUAAAUCGCAACAAAAUAAACUGGUUAAAUGGCAAAACGAAAAGUCUUCCUUUUUGUAGGUUGCUCUUUGUUCUCCCUGAAUCUGUGGUUCUCCAAAAUCUCCACACUAUCCCAUGAGGAUGGCUGAGAAGCGAUGGGGACCCCCAUGUACAAUAUUAGGGUCACUAGAGACAGCAUUGCAAUGGUAAGACGCAUUUUUUACAGUCCACAGAAAACCACUCCGAGCAAGCUUA
rnacentral:lncRNA from 1 species